UCUGAUUCCGCCUGUGUAAUCAGUUGAUCUUGCAUUUCGAUGGACUACCAGAACUACUGGAAACAUAUGAUGGGAUUAACUGCUACAAUCUGAUACUAACGAGUAAGCAGUAGAUCGUAUCAGUGCAUGUUCUUGCAUUGAACAAUUCCUGGUGACCUGCUUUGGGAAAUGAUCUUGUAAGCAUGUGAGGCCGACCUCCCUCUCUAUCUAUAUCCAGAUCUUUCUUUCAAUAUAUUUAUUGUGCAUAUUGUAUGGAACUGUUGGCUUUAUCAUGCUGAGGGAAGUUGUAUUGAUGGUGUAUGUCUGGAUUCAUACGGAAACUUCUCUUUACUCUAUGACAUUUAUUAGUCCAAAGGCAUUUUUUUUAUAUUGAUUUGUAUAAUUUGUAUACUGGUUGUGUGUAUUUAGCUUUUUUAACAUUACUGAUCUGGUCAUUCAUGUCUACUGAUUUGCGGCAUAGACCAAAGAAGACCGUCAACAAUCGUAUUGAUAUUCCUUUUAACAGCAUUUAAAGAAAUGCUGUUAACUUUCUUUAUCAUCAAGGUGCGUGAGAUAAAGUUCAGUUUAAUAAUAAAUUCAAGAAAUUCAGUUAAAUAAAUAAAUAAAUAAAUAAAUAAAUA